rnacentral:rRNA from 1 species
UACGUAGGGUGCAAGCGUUGUCCGGAAUUAUUGGGCGUAAAGCGCGUGUAGGCGGUCCGGUAAGUCCGCUGUGAAAGUCGGGGGCUUAACCCUCGGAUGCCGGUGGAUACUGUCGGGCUUGAGUACGGAAGAGGCGAGUGGAAUUCCUGGUGUAGCGGUGAAAUGCGCAGAUAUCAGGAGGAACACCAAUUGCGAAGGCAGCUCGCUGGGACGUUACUGACGCUGAGACGCGAAAGCGUGGGUAGCAAACAGG